rnacentral:rRNA from 1 species
AGGAAUAUUCGACAAUGGAUGGUAAUCUGAUCCAGCCAUGCCGCGUACAGGAAGACGGCCCUAUGGGUUGUAAACUGUUUUUGUAUGGGACGCAAUAAGGUGUAUGCGUAGACUGAUGAGAGUACCAUACGAAUAAGCAUCGGCUAACUCCGUGCCAGCAGCCGCGGUAAUACGGGGGAUGCAAGCGUUAUCCGGAUUUAUUGGGUUUAAAGGGUGCGUAGGCGGUUUGAUAAGUCAGCGGUGAAAUAUUUCAGCUUCACUGAAAGGCUGCCGUUGAUACUGUCAGGCUUGAAUAUGGUUGCUGUGGGUGGAAUGUGUGGUGUAGCGGUAUAUGCUUAGAUAUCACACAGAAUAUCGAUUGCGAAGGCAGCUCACAAAGCCAUUAUUGACGAUGAUGCACGAAAGUGUGGGGAUCACAACAGGAUUAGAUACCCUGGUAGUCCACACUGUCAACGAUGAUUACUCGCUGUCGGCGAUACACAGUCGGUGACCAAGCGAACGCGAUAAGUUAUCCACCUGGGGAGUUCGAAGGC